rnacentral:tRNA from 1 species
GAGGUCUUAGCUUAAUUAAAGUGUUUGAGUUGCAUUCAGAAGAUGUAUUUUAAAGUAAUACAGGCCUUC